GACAGAGGGUGCAAACGUUGUUCGGAAUUACUGGGCGUAAAGCGCGCGCAGGCGGCCUUUUAAGUCUGAUGUGAAAGCCCACGGCUCAACCGUGGAAGGUCAUUGGAAACUGAAAGGCUUGAGUACAGAAGAGGAACGCGGAAUUCCAGGUGUAGCGGUGAAAUGCGUAGAUAUCUGGAGGAACACCGGUGGCGAAGGCGGCGUUCUGGACUGCAACUGACACUGAGAGACGAAAGCCAGGGGAGCAAACGGG
rnacentral:rRNA from 1 species